rnacentral:rRNA from 1 species
GACGAACGCUGGCGGCGUGCCUAACACAUGCAAGUCGAGCGGAGAAUGCAGAAAUGUUUACAUGGAAGCGUUCUUAGCGGCGGACGGGUGAGUAACACGUGGGUAACCUGCCUCAAAGUGGGGGAUAGCCUUCCGAAAGGAAGAUUAAUACCGCAUAAGCCUACAGUGCCGCAUGGCACAGCAGGAAAAGGAGCAAUCCGCUUUGAGAUGGACCCGCGGCGCAUUAGCUAGUUGGUGAGGUAACGGCUCACCAAGGCGACGAUGCGUAGCCGACCUGAGAGGGUGAUCGGCCACAUUGGAACUGAGACACGGUCCAGACUCCUACGGGAGGCAGCAGUGGGGAAUAUUGCACAAUGGGCGAAAGCCUGAUGCAGCAACGCCGCGUGAGUGAUGAAGGCCUUCGGGUCGUAAAGCUCUUUGAUCAGGGAUGAUAAUGACAGUACCUGAAAAACAAGCCACGGCUAACUACGUGCCAGCAGCCGCGGUAAUACGUAGGUGGCGAGCGUUGUCCGGAAUUACUGGGCGUAAAGGAUGCGUAGGUGGAUACUUAAGCGGGAUGUGAAAUCCCCGGGCUCAACCCGGGAACUGCAUUCCAAACUGGGUAUCUAGAGUGCAGGAGAGGAAAGCGGAAUUCCUAGUGUAGCGGUGAAAUGCGUAGAUAUUAGGAGAAACACCAGUGGCGAAGGCGGCUUUCUGGACUGUAACUGACACUGAGGCAUGAAAGCGUGGGUAGCAAACA